rnacentral:rRNA from 1 species
AGAGUUUGAUCCUGGCUCAGGAUGAACGCUGGCGGCGUACUUAACACAUGCAAGUCGAACGAUUGAAGCUGGAGCUUGCUCCGGCCGAUUUAGUGGCGGACGGGUGAGUAACGCGUGGGUAACCUGCCUCAUACAGGGGGAUAGCAGUUGGAAACGACUGGUAAAACCGCAUAAGCGCACGGUGUCGCAUGACACAGUGUGAAAACACUCCGGUGGUAUGAGAUGGACCCGCGUCUGAUUAGCUAGUUGGUGAGGUAACGGCCCACCAAGGCGACGAUCAGUAGCCGGCCUGAGAGGGUGAACGGCCACAUUGGGACUGAGACACGGCCCAAACUCCUACGGGAGGCAGCAGUGGGGAAUAUUGCACAAUGGGGGAAACCCUGAUGCAGCGACGCCGCGUGAGUGAUGAAGUAUUUCGGUAUGUAAAGCUCUAUCAGCAGGGAAGAUAAUGACGGUACCUGACUAAGAAGCACCGGCUAAAUACGUGCCAGCAGCCGCGGUAAUACGUAUGGUGCAAGCGUUAUCAGGAUUUACUGGGUGUAAAGGGUGCGUAGGUGGCAAGGCAAGUCUGAAGUGAAAAUCCGGGGCUCAACCCCGGAACUGCUUUGGAAACUGUUUAGCUGGAGUACAGGAGAGGUAAGUGGAAUUCCUAGUGUAGCGGUGAAAUGCGUAGAUAUUAGGAGGAACACCAGUGGCGAAGGCGGUCUACUGGGCACCAACUGACGCUGAGGCUCGAAAGCAUGGGUAGCAAACAGGAUUAGAUACCCUGGUAGUCCAUGCCGUAAACGAUGAUUACUAGGUGUUGGGGGAUUGACCCCCUCAGUGCCGCAGUUAACACAAUAAGUAGUCCACCUGGGGAGUACGACCGCAAGGUUGAAACUCAAAGGAAUUGACGGGGGCCCGCACAAGCAGUGGAGUAUGUGGUUUAAUUCGAAGCAACGCGAAGAACCUUACCAGGUCUUGACAUCCGAUGCAUAGCACAGAGAUGUGUGAAAUCCUUCGGGACAUCGAGACAGGUGGUGCAUGGUUGUCGUCAGCUCGUGUCGUGAGAUGUUGGGUUAAGUCCCGCAACGAGCGCAACCCUUAUUGCCAGUUACUACGUUAAGAGGACUCUGGCGAGACUGCCGUUGACAAAACGGAGGAAGGUGGGGAUGACGUCAGGUCAUCAUGCCCCUUAUGACCUGGGCUACACACGUACUACAAUGGGUGUCAACAAAGAGAAGCGAAACCGCGAGGUGGAGCGAACCUCAAAAACACACCCCCAGUUCAGAUUGCAGGCUGCAACCCGCCUGCAUGAAGUAGGAAUCGCUAGUAAUCGCGGGCCAGCAUACCGCGGUGAAUACGUUCCCGGGCCUUGUACACACCGCCCGUCACACUAUGAGAGUCGGAAACACCCGAAGCCGGUGAGGUAACCGCAAGGAGCCAGCCGUCGAAGGUGGAGCUGAUGAUUGGAGUGAAGUCGUAACAAGGUA